CUAUAAUAUUGCAGUGUUGCUCAUAUAGUACCAAAAGUUUGUAUGUUAAGAUACCGCACAAUCACACAAAAUUAGCUGAUACAAAUAUUUGGGUGAAAUUGUUGUUUAUAACAUAACAGAGGUGCUACAUUAUACCUUAAAAUUUAAAUAUUUCUUAAGCGAAAAAAAUUACUUAAAUAAUUAAGCUGUGUACAACUACUUAAAUAAGAUUCUAACAGCAUUACAUCUGCUGGCUGAUGGCAAUUAUCAACACGGGACUGGUCAGGAUCAUGGUUUAUCUAUUGGUCAGACGACUGUAAGCCACAGUAUCUCGAACAAUUUGUAGAUGCUGUGAACAGAAGGUAUGUUUAUUGGACCACUGAACUACUAGGCAUCAAAAACUGUGAGAGUAUACUAGGGCUAUCUUAGUAGUUUUUACUUUUUUGAAUAAGCAUCAGUGUUGAUGUAUUGUGUAAUGAGAUAGGUAUUGUUUGAUAGUUAUGUUCAGGUAGUUAGUUACAUUGGAUACAUAAUCUGGAAUUGCAAUACUAGCUAGGUUUGACUAAGGUUAAGUUCUAAAACGUGCCAUCUAAAAUAUGCUCCUUUUUACAGACUUAAAGACCAAUGGAUAAUAGUUUUUCCUGGAACUGAUCGGUCCCGACGAUCAGUUGCCUCAGGAUUUGAGGAUGCAUAUGGUCUGCCAAAUAUCUUGGGUGUAGUAGACUGCACUCAAGUGAAAAUAUUUCCCACCUGUGCCACACGGAGUGCAAUAUCUGAAUCGGAAAGGCGUUCACGCUCUUAAUGUACAGCUAGUAAGUUUCAAUUUUAGUUACAAAUAAUGAUUUUUUUAUAUUAAUCAUAAAAUCCUCAUCACUGACCACAAUGUAUGUAUAUUAUAAUUAAAUAAAGAAAUAUAAAUACUAUGGGACAAUCUAACACAAAUCGACUAAGAUAAUGAUGUACCUAAUCUAGAUUGAUUAUAAUAAUUCAUUAAAAUAAUAACUUAUAUGUUACUACUUGGUUGUCACCAAUUCUCAAAUAAGAAUAUAAAUAACCUUAUAUCUUCAGAUUGCAGAUGUCAACUGUAAGAUCUUGGCAGUAAACACGAGGUUUCCUGGCCGUGUGCACGACUCUUUCAUAUUUAACAAUUCGUCCAUUUAGGAUGAAUUAAGAAGAUUGUACAAUGGCCACAUUGGGGAGUAUUUCCUUCUGGGUGACUCGGGGUAUGCUCUUGAGCCAUGGCUCAUGACGCCAGUGCUGAAUCCUGCCCCGGGAAGCCCAGAAGCAAGGUACACGGUCUGGCACUGUCGCGUGCGCAACACGAUCAAGCGUACCAAUGGGUACCUCAAAAACGUAUUCCGGUGCCUGGGCCACGACCGCGUCUUACACUACAGCCCGACGAAGGCAUCGUCAAUAAUAAAUGCAUGUUGCGUAGUAUACAACAUAAUGCAACAUUAUAGAAAUGUUCCCGAGGAAAUCGUAGGAGAUAUUGAUGAAGACGCUCCUCAAGAACUUCCUCAUCGUCAUGCGCAAAACGGACUACUAUUAAGAGUGGCGCAGGAAAAGCGUGCGCGUCUAAUAAAUACAUAUUUUGCUUA